rnacentral:rRNA from 1 species
UACGUAGGGUGCAAGCGUUGUCCGGAAUUAUUGGGCGUAAAGAGCUCGUAGGCGGUUUGUCGCGUCGGCUGUGAAAUCCCGAGGCUCAACCUCGGCCUGCAGUCGAUACGGGCAGACUAGAGUGCGGUAGGGGAGACUGGAAUUCCUGGUGUAGCGGUGAAAUGCGCAGAUAUCAGGAGGAACACCGGUGGCGAAGGCGGGUCUCUGGGCCGUAACUGACGCUGAGGAGCGAAAGCGUGGGGAGCGAACAGG